UGAGAUGAAAAUGGUUUUCUACCUCUCGAGGUAGCGUAUUUUAAAAGAAAAGGUUUUCGUGUGGGAAACAUGCAGUUUUAAAAAGAGUUUUCUGAUUUUCAUAAUUUUUAGUAUUUCAAAAUGAGUUUCCGGAUGGAAAACGUUUUAAACUAAUAGAUGUGGAUUUAUGAAGAAAACAUUGCAAUCUUGUGAUUGAAUAAAUGUGAAUGAAGUUAUGUGAUGUGGUGAAUGUAUAUGGUUGUUUAUAUACUGUGGUUGUAUCUCGUACUUGUGCGACGCCGUACAAAUAUAGGGGACACUUUAUCCGUGUGAACAGUGGGCUUCCUGUAUUUGUGACGGAUCUGACAUCCCUUAGAGUCAAGAUUUUCAAAAAAAAAAAAAAUUUGGGCACUUCAGCAUUAGUUUUAAAUCCAAAAGGGACCCCGGGGCGUGACAGACACUCACUUCCAUAGCUAUGAAACAAACAGGAGGGGAGAAAUAGUAUUCACCGAACUCUACUUCAAU
rnacentral:lncRNA from 1 species